AAGUCGUAACAAGGUUUCCGUAGGUGAACCUGCGGAAGGAUCAUUACCAAAGAAGAACAGAAAACCACUUCAGGGAGGCGGACCUGACGGACGUCUUGAACCCUGUCGGGACCACCCUAUACCUGCGAAACGCCACCGUCCUAGCGGUGGCGGACGAUGAAUCAGGCACGGUGGCCCUUUUGCCUUCACAUAACUCCCUGCGUACCACUUCCACGUUGCUUCCCCGCAAUCCUCACCGCUUGGUGGGCGCGGGGGAGGUCUCCAACAAACACACCAGCGCUCAACAGCAGUCGGAUGACCUAUGAUAGAACCAUUAAAAA
rnacentral:misc_RNA from 1 species